UACGGAGGGUGCAAGCGUUAUCCGGAUUCACUGGGUUUAAAGGGUGCGUAGGUGGUUCCGUAAGUCAGUGGUGAAAUCUCCGAGCUUAACUUGGAAACUGCCAUUGAUACUAUAGGUCUUGAAUUAUCUGGAGGUGAGCGGAAUAUGUCAUGUAGCGGUGAAAUGCUUAGAUAUGACAUAGAACACCAAUUGCGAAGGCAGCUCACUACGGAUAUAUUGACACUGAGGCACGAAAGCGUGGGGAUCAAACAGG
rnacentral:rRNA from 1 species